UACGAAGGGGGCUAGCGUUGCUCGGAAUUACUGGGCGUAAAGCGCACGUAGGCGGGUCAUUAAGUCGGGGGUGAAAUCCUGGAGCUCAACUCCAGAACUGCCUUCGAAACUGAUGAUCUUGAGUUCGGGAGAGGUGAGUGGAACUGCGAGUGUAGAGGUGAAAUUCGUAGAUAUUCGCAAGAACACCAGUGGCGAAGGCGGCUCACUGGCCCGAUACUGACGCUGAGGUGCGAAAGCGUGGGGAGCGAACAGG
rnacentral:rRNA from 1 species